GGUGUUGCUUGUUGAAUUUGGGUAAACUUUCAGUUUUUGCAUUGUUGACGAGGAAAUCUUAGGUUCAUUUUAAAUUUUUGACCAUGGAACAUCAAGAUUUAGUGGAUAAGAAUGAAGAGAGCAUUCAAUCGAUCGAAAAGGUUAGCAAUGCUGAAGAUCAGGAUAAGAUGAAUGAGGUUGAAAGUGUGAAAUCUGAGUUGGUUAAUGUUGAUGAGAGCAAGGAUUUGCAAUCUGAAACUUGUUGUCUUUGGGUUAUUUCUGCAGACUGCUCAUAUUUGAUAACAUAGAGAAUGGAAGCUUAAAGGAGCAUCUCAAUGGUAAUUUUUGAAAGAAAUUAGAAGGAUGAGGUUGCAGAUUGCUAAUGAAGUUGUAGCAGCACUGGUAAACUCAUUUUGUGCUAGUUAAGCUCCAUCUGGCUUUCGAUCCGUAGCUUAUCCUGUGUUGGUGUGUAAGACUGCACAUUAUUAUAUGCUCAAAGUCAUGGAUAUCUUCAUAAAGGCUGCUGAAUAUAUGAAAAUUCCAGUUCGUAGGACUGAUGACGAACCUCUUCAAAAGCUCUUUAUGUUAUUGAGGAGUG